UGGGGAAUUUUGGACAAUGGGGGCAACCCUGAUCCAGCCAUGCCGCGUGCGGGAAGAAGGCCUUCGGGUUGUAAACCGCUUUUGUCAGGGAAGAAACGCUUCGAGCUAAUACCUCGAGGUAAUGACGGUACCUGAAGAAUAAGCACCGGCUAACUACGUGCCAGCAGCCGCGGUAAUACGUAGGGUGCAAGCGUUAAUCGGAAUUACUGGGCGUAAAGCGUGCGCAGGCGGUCGUGCAAGACAGAUGUGAAAUCCCCGGGCUCAACCUGGGAACUGCAUUUGUGACUGCACGGCUGGAGUGCGGCAGAGGGGGAUGGAAUUCCGCGUGUAGCAGUGAAAUGCGUAGAUAUGCGGAGGAACACCGAUGGCGAAGGCAAUCCCCUGGGCCUGCACUGACGCUCAUGCACGAAAGCGUGGGGAGCAAACA
rnacentral:rRNA from 1 species